rnacentral:tRNA from 1 species
UGAGGUAUAGUUUAAUCCGGAAGAACGUUGGUUUUUGGUACCGACAAUGUAGGUUCGAUUCCUACUGCCUCAA